GUGCUCACUUUGGCAGUAUAUAUAUACUAAAAUUGGAAUAAUAUAUAGAAAAUUAACAUGACCCCUGCUCAAGGAUGACAGGCAAAAAUAGAAUUAUUGCCCAUUUUA